AGAGUUAAACAGUGCGUGAAAUUGUUGAAAGGGAAACGUUUGACACCAGUCAUGUGGGUGGAAAAUCAGUCUUUUGCAUUGGGGAGUUGUAAGGGUUCGGACCGCAAGGCCGGCUUUUGCUUCAUCUUUGGUGUAAGUGAUGCACUUUUUCAUCUACAGGUCAACAUCGGUUUCGGUGGGAGUAGAUCAGUACGAGAAGGUGGCUCGCGCUUCGCGGUGGGAGUGUUAUAGCUCGUAUGAGUGCUUCGACUGGGACCGAGGUCAGCGGUACAUGCCUCUAGUGGGCUGGCCGGCCGGGUGCUACCGAUUCGGCCGGUAGUGAACAACCUAGUUGAUCAUUACUGGUCGGAGCGGUACUUAUCCGGUGCGGGUACAAAUGUGCCAAGGAUGUUGACGAAAUGGUUUUAAACGACC
rnacentral:rRNA from 1 species